rnacentral:antisense_RNA from 1 species
CCUUCCCGCCCGCGGCUCACUCUCCACGGUGAGUUUGGCCUGUGUCUUGUCAUCCGGCGUCUCGCAGCCAAAGAAGCCACGGUCGGCAAAACCUACGUUGUGCAGAACCAGGCGGUGGCGGGCGCCCUCGGCGUGGAUUUCCACGUUCUUUCCCGGCGCCAGGGCCGUCGCGUUCCGUGUCCACCUCAGCUCCGGCCACGGCCGCGUCAGCUCCACCUCCAGGGUCACCGAGCUCCGCUCCUCCACCGUCUGCGGCUCCAGCUUCUUUUUGAACAGCACGGGCGCCUCUGGGGUCGCAGGAGAGGGGAGGUCACGGCGGCCCUCGCCCUCCUCCACGGGCAAGCCAAGGUACACCUGCAGGAUUGUAUCUUCUCUAGACCCAGAGAAGGCACCUGGCCCAUCCAGCCUACCCGAGUCUCCUCUCCGCAGCCCACACACCCCGAGUCUCCUGAGGUCAGCCGGACCAGCCGUAACAGGAGAGCAGUUCCAGGUGCCCACUCAGAACCAGCCCACAGGGGAGGUACCUGUGCAAGGAGCCCUGGCCAGCCAG